CCAGAAAGCGUAAUAGCUCACUAGUCGAGUCGGCCUGCGCGGAAGAUGUAACGGGGCUCAAACCAUGCACCGAAGCUACGGGUAUCACUUUUAGUGAUGCGGUAGAGGAGCGUUCUGUAAGCCUGUGAAGGUGAGUUGAGAAGCUUGCUGGAGGUAUCAGAAGUGCGAAGCUGACAUGAGUAACGACAAUGGGUGUGAAAAACACCCACGCCGAAAGACCAAGGUUUCCUGCGCAACGUUAAUCGACGCAGGGUUAGUCGGUCCCUAAGGCGAGGCUGAAAAGCGAAGUCGAUGGAAAACAGGUUAAUAUUCCUGUACUUCUGGUUAUUGCGAUGGAGGGACGGAGAAGGCUAGGCCAGCUUGGCGUUGGUUGUCCAAGUUUAAGGUGGUAGGCUGAGAUCUUAGGUAAAUCCGGGAUCUUAAGGCCGAGAGCUGAUGACGAGUGUCCUUUAGGACACGAAGUGGUUGAUGCCAUGCUUCCAAGAAAAGCUUCUAAGCUUCAGGUAACCAGGAACCGUACCCCAAACCGACACAGGUGGUUGGGUAGAGAAUACCAAGGCGCUUGAGAGAACUCGGGUGAAGGAACUAGGCAAAAUGGCACCGUAACUUCGGGAGAAGGUGCGCCGGUGAGGGUGAAGCAUUUACUGCGUAAGCCCACGCCGGUCGAAGAUACCAGGCCGCUGCGACUGUUUAUUAAAAACACAGCACUCUGCAAACACGAAAGUGGACGUAUAGGGUGUGACGCCUGCCCGGUGCCGGAAGGUUAAUUGAUGGGGUUAGCUAACGCGAAGCUCUUGAUCGAAGCCCCGGUAAACGGCGGCCGUAACUAUAACGGUCCUAAGGUAGCGAAAUUCCUUGUCGGGUAAGUUCCGACCUGCACGAAUGGCGUAACGAUGGCGGCGCUGUCUCCACCCGAGACUCAGUGAAAUUGAAAUCGCUGUGAAGAUGCAGUGUAUCCGCGGCUAGACGGAAAGACCCCGUGAACCUUUACUAUAGCUUUGCACUGGACUUUGAAUUUGCUUGUGUAGGAUAGGUGGGAGGCUUUGGAGCGUGGACGCCAGUCUGCGUGGAGCCAACCUUGAAAUACCACCCUGGCAACUUUGAGGUUCUAACUCAGGUCCGUUAUCCGGAUCGAGGACAGUGUAUGGUGGGUAGUUUGACUGGGGCGGUCUCCUCCUAAAGAGUAACGGAGGAGUACGAAGGUGCGCUCAGACCGGUCGGAAAUCGGUCGUAGAGUAUAAAGGCAAAAGCGCGCUUGACUGCGAGACAGACACGUCGAGCAGGUACGAAAGUAGGUCUUAGUGAUCCGGUGGUUCUGUAUGGAAGGGCCAUCGCUCAACGGAUAAAAGGUACU
rnacentral:rRNA from 1 species